CCCAUGAUCUUGCUGGCCUGCUGCCAGUUGCUAAGGCAGUUUCUUCAAAAGGGAGGGGAGCUGUGGAAGGAGGGAGCUGCCUGGAGAGGAGGCAGAUGAUGUACGCAGGGACCAGGCAGAGAGAGGAGCCUGCAGCCACCAGUGAUGGAGACAAAAGGGACCCGGGGCUGAGUGGGAGCAGGGGGAAGGAGCCCAGAGGAGAGGGGUGAGGUGGAAAGGGGCAGGGGGAGAAGCAGCUCCUUGCACAGCUCAGCCAGGGAGCUGGCAUCCCAGCAGACCUGUCUCAGCUGAUGGGUGUGCUGUGGUUCACAGCAGCUCUGCGAAGCACUGCCUGUGGCAGGAGGGGAUUUCAUUCUCCAAUGAUUUUUCCCUGCUGUGCUUCCUCUGAGCUGAGUGCAGACCCGGGCCGAUGCUGCUGGAAAGGAACCACUGUGGUGCCUCCUUUGCCUGGAAACGCCACUCCUGGGGCACAGGGGCACCACCCGAGGGAGGGAGGGACUGUCCCUCGGUCCCCAGGGUACCCCAGAGCCCUGUCACCUCGAGAAACAAGGUAAGCACCUCGCUCCUCUGGUGUGGGGUUGGUGUGAGAUACCUCAGACCUGAACCUCAUCCAGCCCGUGCCGAACCCCAGCCUGUUUCCCCCUUCCUCCUGCUCCCCUCACAGCGGGCUCAGAGCGAGGGCUGCCUGUGGACAAAUGCCUGGAGCUGCCCUCUGCUCGGGGCAGACACUGCGGGGAGAUGCUGCUCCCCACAGGGACACCCCAUCCUUAAAGCCCAGAGCAAUGGUUUGCCCUCGCUGAGGUGGGAAGUUGGAGGUUGGAGUGGGUGGGAAGCUGCUCCCCUCAGGAGGGGGAAGAAGGGCUCUGUGCAGAGCCUGGGUGUUCUGCGCUGGAGGCAGCUCUCGCUGACAAGUCACAAGUGAGGAAAUAAACUCUUAAAAGGUAGGCGGCAACAAAACCGGGGCAGCUUCGGGAGUGCAACAGCGGCAUCUCCGCUGGCCCUGCCUGGGAUCCGUGCAGCAGCACCCGGCCGUGUCCGUACGGGAGCCGAGCCCCGGGGCCGCGGAGCCUGGGUGGGAGCCGAGCCCCGGGGAAGGGUUCGCGCCGUGACCCCUGCGAGCGCAGCGCUUGCUGAGCAAACAGAAAUCCAACCCCGGGGCCGGCUUUAAUUCUCCCACUUCUCCUUCCUUAGCGAUUCUCGCGGCCCGUGUCCCCGCAGCCCCCCGGCCCCGGGCGGCAGCUGCUGCGGAGCCCGCGGGCCCUAACACGAGCUCGGGACGGGGACAACUCGCCGCUUUCUCCCGCUGGCUCUCGGCUCUCCGGAAAGCCAAAAUGGAGCAGUGGCGCUGCCGUGGGUGUGGGGAGGCCGGGAGGCUGCGCAGGGGGUGACUCAUGAGCUGAGCACCGCAGCCGGGGCCGGCCCAGGGCGCUCCGGGGCUGCGCAGGCACGGCCACGAGAGGCUGGAGCCGGAGGCAGGGAGGAGACCUCCCCUCCUGGCUGGGCCUGAAAGCGAACACCAGGCACCUGGAGGAGUGGGGAUGGGAGGAGGGCACUGAUAAAUGAAGCGGUGGAUUAAGGUAUCAGAUGUUUCCUGCCGGGAUUUAAUGGCCUGGAGGACAGCGCAUUGCGUGCAAUAGAAGCGGGCAGGUCCCGCUCCGGGCCAGCCUGGCCGCUCCCCGGGAAGCCGCUCACGCCCCCGGGCUGCUCGGAGCUGCAGCUCCCGCCUCAGCGGAGCCGAGCAUCCCCCGGCACACGCAGGGCAGGAACGGGCACCGCUCCGCGCUGGGCAGGACAAAAGCCUCACGGCAGGAAAGGCCUCGCACCAGGCGAUGUUUCCCUUGUUCUGUCAGGUGCAGCGGGGUCAGGCCGGGCUGUCCCUCCCCUGUCCCUUGCCACCUCCCGCGGGUGAACACCUCCCACCCCUCCCCCUGCAGCCCUCAUGCGCUCCUGUCUUCCCCUGACCGCCCUCUUUCGUGGAGGGAAAGAACAAAGCCGGAAUUUAUUUUAAUUGUUUAUUGUAUAAUAUAAAACUACAAAAGUAAGACUGCUCAUUUCCAUGUACAUUUGUCCAAUUGUUUUUAUGAUUACAGCCCAUACCUACAUGUGAAUACAGUAAUCUGGUUUCAGAUGUCUGUAAUAUUGCAUAGAAAAGGCACAGCUCUAAGGUCUGUGGGAGGGGAAGGGGAAAUACAGCCUUUUUUCUUUUUUUUUUCUUUUUUUUUCUUUUUUUUCUUUUUUUUUCUUAUUUUUUUUUUACAAUAACAAGCCCUGUUCAAACAACCAUGCACUGAACAUGUCACACUAUUUACACCUUUUCCAGAAUCUUGGCCUUUGUAGGCACUAGUAUGGAAUACGCUCAGAACUAGAUAGGAGUUGAGGUUGGGAUUUUGUCUGUAAUUUGUGUUUUUAAAGAGAUUCCAGAACUUGCAUUAGUCUUAUUUUCAGAAAAAGAAAAAAAGUGCUUAAAAAAGAACUAAUUUAUUUUAAAAUGUUCAGUCUCAUUAAUUAAUAGAAUAUUGAAAGCAACUUGCACAGAAGCAGGAUACUGAAGCCUGACUGGGGAGUUGGGGGAGAAAAAGAAAAAAACCCAAACCAAAAGAAACCCUGUAACGAGAACAAAAAGUUCAAAACAUGCCAGAAUGAAUUAAACCGUUUGUCAGACAGGACCCAUUGCGAUUUACUCAAUUUAAUAAAGUGUAAACGUGGGAUUCAAAAUGAUCAGUUUUAAAAUAACCCAGGCUCUUACCACGCGGCGCUGAGGAAAAACCGAAUUACCUCGCCCAAGAUCUGAACUUCUCCUGCCAGCGAUUGCUCCAGCCGGUGGCAGCGCGGUGUUGCUCUCCCAGCUGGUGCCGGUGGAUGCCCGGACAGACGGCGCUGCCAAGCCGCUCUCUCCGAGAGGGAUGUUCCGCUUCCUUCGCUCCCAGGGCUCCGGAGAGGCUGCGGAGCCCCAGGCCCGGCUGGUCGGACACAGAGCCGGGGGUUUGGGCUCUAAGUCGGGCUGUCCUGCCCAGCCCCACCUCCGGGUGAGGAAGUGGCUCUGGCACAACUCCUGGGGCUGGAGGGAACAUCCUGCCCCCUGCUAUGGGCAUCCAGCCCCAGGGACUUCUGCUGGGCCUCCCAUGCGUGUUUAAAAAAUAAGGAAAAAAAAAAAUCAUCUUUUCUAAACCUUUCCCAGGCCAGCAGGAUGGAGAUGAUUGCAUUUGCUCCUGCCUUCAGUGGCAGAUUCCAGUAGCGUGCCAAGGGAGGCCCCUCUCAAGAAGCCAGUGGGGGGGUAGGAGCCUGAUUAGGAUUAAUUUUGAACAUAAACCUGUCCCUCCUCCAUGCCUUUUUUUGCAUAUUUCAAACAACCAGAUCCAUAUUAGAAAAAGAGUGUAGGGAAAAAAAUAAUCCUGUGAUCCAUGCAUAUCCUGACUGGAACUCAAUUCAUUCUUUCUGAAUCUGGCUCCCAUACCCUUUUUCAUACAGAUUUACAUUCCUACAAGAGGAUACAUUCCUACCAUACAUUCUGUACAUGUUACAAUCCAGAUGUUGUUAGCUUCACAAUAAAAUAAAUAUAUUUACAGAAGAAAAAAAAAAAAAAAGAAUAAAUAAUUUAAGAAAAAAAAAAAAAUCACUUCAAAUCCAAAGCUCUCUUAUUCUGCUCCCAUCUUGUCACUUCAUUGCACGUUAAUGUCAAUCUCCAUCCCUGGUGUAGGUCUCAGAGAAAUUCCAUGCAUGGCUGCUGUUGGGACCACAGCACAGGCCCAGCUAGAGACAGUCAGUGACUGUGCAGGGGGACAGCCACAGCUCAGCCUGCAUCAGCCUUCCCAACCUUCUGCUGAGUCCCACAAAUCAAGCAGGUAUUUGUCCUACAGGAUUCCUGCAGGGAUUCUGCCACAGGACCUGCGCUUCAGCACCAAGGAGCCACAGACACUGCCCGAGCGGUGAAGUGGAUUUAGAGCUCGGCUCCUGCUCUCUGGGUACAAAAACUUCAACUGAUUCCCCUUAAACAGCACAGAUCUCUGAAAAGAGCACCGAUGGGAGCAUUUGCCUAGAUGGUAUUUAUGCAGGUGUAAAUAUUUAAGUAAUCCCAAAAAACAGGCGGCUCCAGCCGUGGUAAGGCAAGCGCCUACCAAGUUGCGGCGUGAACCUGGUGUUGCUCCAGGUUUGUGCGGGAUUGUGUUCCCAGAUACUCGAGGUGCAGGGACAGAAAGGCUGUGGGUUCUCCUGCAAGUGCUGAGGACUUGCUGUGGAACAAGGGCUGGGUGGGAGCUGGAGCUGCCCCCCCUCCUCCCCACCCUCCCUUCCCCUGGUCCCUAAAGCUACACUUGGUCAAUGGUUCUCCGUUUGAAGCAGUAACUUCCUCUCUCUUUAGUCUGUGUAAUGACUGCAAAUCCAUCAGCAUCCCAGUGUUUCAUGGAGUUUAGCUUGGGAAAAAGAAGAAAGCAAACCCACCCCCUGGGCCAGCGCUCCCCUCCUCCCCCAGACCUGUCUCUCCCUGGCAGGUGAACUGGGAGCCAGAAGCGCCUUCCGCAGCGUUACAUGAUGCAUUUCAUUUCCAUUAGGAGUUCCUUCAUUGCAAAAAUGUAUUUGCUCUCAUCCUGUGUCUGUGUGCAUAUCUAUGUUACAUCUAUCUAUAUACUAAUAAAUAUAUAUGGCCUGUUUUAAAGUGCCAAUUUAUAAAAAGCUGCCUCCUUAAAAGGCAGGCAAGACCCAAUUUCAUCCAUGACAAGAAGAGAGCAGAAUUGACUGAAUAUUGCCAAAUGACGUAAAACAUAAUUUAAAAUUUCUUAAAUAAAUAUAAAAGUUAUUCCUAAAGAAGCCAUAGGCAUGUCAACAAUAUAGGUUGUAACCGGCACUCAACAACUAAAGUACCAUUGGAAAACUAAAAUGCCAUAGCAACUUCAGCAAUAGGCAUGAUACAUUGCAAACAUUUUUUUCUUUUUAAAUUAAAUGUACACCACAAAGAACUUAGGGAAAAAAAAAAUAAAAAAAGCUAUUGGUGCAGUAAGAAGACUUCUCAGGUGUUACGAGGGAGGGGACCAUGCAUAGAAAGCUGUGUCUGUAUAUUCCUUGUAAAACGGGUCUAUAAAGUGUAAAGCAGGUAACACAGUUGAUACAAGAACCCAACUCUGUACGAGAUGCCAAGUGAUGUCACACGACUGGCUCCAGUUUCAACAGCAAUGGAUAUUAAAGCAAGUCCAUCCAGUGCAGGUACGAGAUGAGCUUCACUGCAGUAAUACUGAAGCUGCCUUUUUCAGCACUUAGCACAGUGAGGUGGGAGAGGGAAGGAGAAAUGCUCCAAGAAAGGGCGAGCGGACGCUCCCAGCCCCGCUCUCUGCCCGCGCCCGUCAGUCGGGGAGAUGCCAGGGAGGCUCUCGGUGGGCUCUGGGCUCGUGGCUCCCCCUCACACCAUUCCCAGGAGCUCCGGGUGAGGAGGUGCCGAUCUCCGCCGGGUUAAGGCUCCACGUCAGGCGGGAUGGGGGCCUGGCAAGGCGGGCGGGCUCGGGGACAGCGGCCGGCCCCGGGGCGGGAGCUGCGGCCGCGGCAGCGCUCAGGACCUCCAGGAGUGAAGUUCCACAACUGUUUCCUGCCAACUGCUUCACAUACGUGUUGGAAAAGGACAUGGCUCUAAGUUUCAGGAAUCACAGUAGUGCGCAGUGGGUACAGCAGGGAGCAAACACUUGUGAAACUCCGACAGAAGCAGCUCCCAGCCCUUUCUUAAAGCACUUUUUCUUUUUUUUUGUUUGCAUUCAGGGAAACCGACUGCAGGCUUAUUUGAUCCAAUUUUCUCUUUGCACCAUACACAUAUAAAACAUUACAACUCUGUAUAAAAGUACAAGUGGUUCUUGUACAUCUGAAUUAUGCAGGAACUAUGUGAGCAAAUCCUAUCAAAAUAGCUAUUUUUUGUGUGUAUAAACAGCAUUUGUUUUUAGAAAAAACAAUACCAUAAACUGCAGAAUCUGUACAAAAAUAUAAAAUAAAUUUGGGCAGCAGUUUCUAAACAGCCAUGUAAAUGCAACACUUAAAGAGGAGCAGGUUAAUGCCUCCAAAAGGCUGAAUUGCUAAAGUCAACCUAUACAGGGCUAAAAUGGUAUUGAGAUUAUCUAAAUAAUAAAAUUUUUUACCUCUUGCAAUAAAACUUAUAGAAAAAAUAGACAAGUAUGCACAUGCAAUUUACAGCUUUCCCCAACAUAAUCCUUGUGCUUAGCUUUUACCUUUUUUUUUUUCCUUUUUUCUUUCUUCUUUUUUUUUUUUCCUUUUUUUUUUUUUUUUUUUUUUUUGUAAUAACAUAACAUUGUCUACAAUACAUAUUCUUUCCUAUACCAGGAUAUUCGGUCUUCCUUGAGGAACCACUUUAAAAAAAAUACAUUAGAAGUGGUCAUACAUGGAUGAAGGCACUCCAACUCUGCUCGAAGCAAAAACUAGUGUGAUCCUUUUCUUUUCAAAAAAGGCAAGCAAGGAUGCAUGCACAGUGCUGUGAAUCGGGGCUGGGAGGGACUAUGGAAAUACUACCGAGUGUAUAUACUGGUACUUAAAAUAAAAUUAAAAAAAAA